GGGUUGUGAGGUUAAGCGACUAAGCGUACACGGUGGAUGCCCUGGCAGUCAGAGGCGAUGAAGGACGUGCUAAUCUGCGAAAAGCGUCGGUAAGGUGAUAUGAACCGUUACAGCCGGCGAUGUCCGAAUGGGGAAACCCAGUGUGAUUCGUCACACUAUCGUUAACUGAAUACAUAGGUUAACGAGGC
rnacentral:rRNA from 1 species